GAUGAACGCUGGCGGCGUGCCUAAUACAUGCAAGUCGAGCGAACGGACGAGAAGCUUGCUUCUCUGAUGUUAGCGGCGGACGGGUGAGUAACACGUGGAUAACCUACCUAUAAGACUGGGAUAACUUCGGGAAACCGGAGCUAAUACCGGAUAAUAUUUUGAACCGCAUGGUUCAAAGUAAAGACGGUACUUGCUGUCACUUAUAGAUGGAUCCGCGCUGCAUUAGCUAGUUGGUAAGGUAACGGCUUACCAAGGCAACGAUGCAUAGCCGACCUGAGAGGGUGAUCGGCCACACUGGAACUGAGACACGGUCCAG
rnacentral:rRNA from 1 species